ensembl:lncRNA
CUUAAAAAGAAAUCCAUAGGCCCCAAAUGGUGUCACUUCCCAAGUCACCAAACUGGGGCUUAAUACCUAAUCUAAUUGCAGUUUCAAUCUUCCUCAGAAAUGUAGUCUUAACUAGUCAGUCAAGAAAUUUCUGAUCAGUGCCAAAGAGGUAAUCUGUUACUGGGGCCUUCUGCAUCCCUCAGUGGAGGAUAAGUAAUUCCCCUAAUAAGAGUCGUUUUCCACCCCCAUCCCUGCCCUUUCCCCUAAGGGAAAGUGACCUUGCCUGGAGGAAUUCUUUCUUUUCUUUCACUAAUAAUGGUCUUAUCCCACCCUCCUUCCUAUAAAAACCUUCCAUCUUGUACUACUCCUCCAAGCCCCCUCUACUUGCUAGCUGAGAUGCCGACCAGUUCUUGAGUUAAGAAAGCCAGUUAGAUAUUCAAAUUUACUCAGUUGAGUUUUUUCUUCUUUAACACAAAGAACGUCUACGGGUGUCCUCCGCCCGCCUUAAUCCACCCAGUAUGUCCGCAGGCAGUGUCCUUCGCAUUCCUGAUUCGGAAACACAAAGACGAGGGCCUUCAUGGGCGUGGGAUGACGGCACCGAAGGGGACAAGGGUAAACGUGAAGUGGUGGUUGUAUGAAGUGAGCGGAGCUGUGUGCCAGUGCUGUACAAACGCUCUUGCCCAUCUGCGGAGCUCUGUAUUGGGUAAAGAUCACAAAGACAACCCUGUGAAUGCCCCAGGAUCAACUUCCUGCCUCGGAUGGUGGAACGAUUCAAAGCACUGCAGACAUCUGAAAGAGCUUCUUGGUGUAGAAAAGAAAAGAAAAAAGAAAAGAAAAGGGCAUUAUAGCAGAUACUGUGUAGGUAAUUUAUCCAAUGUACACACUGGACUUUCCGGUCACCACAUCCCCGAUCCUUCACCCAGAACGAUUCUUGAGCGUGAAAAAGACCAGACUGUUCCAUCCAGAUCACUUUCAAUCCCAAGUUCCAGACUGUGGCGUGAGUGUGAGGUCGUUACAGUGCUCACAACCGGGGCUGUUGGUGAGAAAUGCAGGGCCCCACAGGAAGACGGGGGUCAGUAUGCACCCUUGAUGCUGGGAGGCCAUAACUUCUUUGAAAUGCUUGCUUCCGCCCCAAAGAGCUCUUCAAGAAAAGCUUUAAUGCGACGUGUGGGAGGGUAGGGCUCCCCCUGCCUGCCGCAGUGCAGCUACUCCUGGCUUGAAGGCCUUUGAGGGGAAGCAGGGUUGUGCAAGAAUGGCUUCACGCUCUACCAGCACCGACCGCCAGUGACGUGGAGCUUCUGAGUUUCCUCCUCCUCCAACAUCAAGAUAAAGUGAAAGUAAACAGGCGCUUGGAAAAUUACUAGUGUUUUUCCUCAUCAGAGCACACGAAAAAGAAUGGCAGAGAGUUUGUUACAUGCCAUUUGUUUUCUGCAUGGGUGUCCUCACAGCUUUCCAGAGCAGGAGCUUCUAGAAAGUGCUUUCUGUAUUACUCAAUCUUGAGAGCACAAACUUACAUUUGGCUUUUCUGCUUCUGGUUGCUCUAAAAGGCAGAGGCGUCUGAAAGGGCUUUGUGAUCCGCCUUCAUUUACAUUUCUAUGAGAGAGAUAAUGUAUUCUUUCACUGAAAUUAGACAUUUAUCCCAGUCUAUUCAUCUGAGGCAAUAACUGGUGCUUUUCCAGAGGGGAACCGGGCCACUUCCUCUGGUGCUCUUCCUGCCUUCUCGAUACCCUUAUCGAUAUUUUCCUGUUCAGGGAAUUUUAUUUAGGACAGUGAUAAACUGCUCUUGGAGAGGAGAUUCCUUACUUUGCACCAGGGUCUAAAUUCAAACAUCUCCAUUUCUGAUAUUUGAAAAUGAAACACAGGCUGCAGCAGGAGGGACCUGACGGUGCUUAAUACAGACCUGCGGACUUCCGUCUUUGUCUCCAUUUCUCUCCUAACUCUGAUUCUCAAGGUUGGCUGGCUCACUCAUUCCUGCUGGAUUUGAUUGUUGGGUGGAUAAUGACGUUUUUACAUGGAAGGUGUCAAAGGCUGGAACCUAUGAAGAAAAAUGUUUGAUAAAUUAGAAUGUGAGCUUGAUGAGGGAAGGGAUUUGCUUUUUUUUUACUGUUGUACCUCAGGUGCAAAGAACAGAGCCU